rnacentral:snRNA from 1 species
AUACCUUCUCGGCCUUUUGGCUAUGAUCAAGUGUAGUAUCUGUUCUUAUCAGUGUGACAACUGAUAUGGAUCCAACUGGAUCCAAUUCUGUCACAACAAUUUUUGUUUGGGAGAGAAGUAGUUUAUGAGCUUGCUCAGACCUUCUCUACGUGUUGCCUCGUCCUUACACUUUCGAUGAGAGCGGCGCACCCUUC